rnacentral:piRNA from 1 species
UACUCCAGUUGGACUUUUUACAUGAUCGGC